GUGGGGAAUAUUGGACAAUGGGCGAAAGCCUGAUCCAGCCAUGCCGCGUGUGUGAAGAAGGUCUUCGGAUUGUAAAGCACUUUAAGUUGGGAGGAAGGGCAUUAACCUAAUACGUUAGUGUUUUGACGUUACCGACAGAAUAAGCACCGGCUAACUUCGUGCCAGCAGCCGCGGUAAUACGAAGGGUGCAAGCGUUAAUCGGAAUUACUGGGCGUAAAGGGCGCGUAGGUGGUUCGUUAAGUUGGAUGUGAAAGCCCCGGGCUCAACCUGGGAACUGCAUCCAAAACUGGCGAGCUAGAGUACGGUAGAGGGUGGUGGAAUUUCCUGUGUAGCGGUGAAAUGCGUAGAUAUAGGAAGGAACACCAGUGGCGAAGGCGACCACCUGGACUGAUACUGACACUGAGGUGCGAAAGCGUGGGGAGCAAACAGGAUUAGAUACCCGAGUAGUCC
rnacentral:rRNA from 1 species